ACUUGUACUGCCAUGUAGCGAUUUCGAUAGACGACGCCUUCAAGGGGAGGAGGAGUCUACAACAUAUUGAAUUUAUCGAUCGAUUGUUAGGCCGAUUUCGAUCAGCAUUGUAUAGUUAAUGAAUGACAACUUGACGAGAUCUUUACACGCACGUUGGAAGUGUACGCGUGUUUGCACCUCGAUGAGCGUUGCACAAUAACAAAGCUCCGUUGGUGAGCGUAUUGAUUAAUAAAGCUAGCUGAAGUCCUUGAGUGCCUCAAGAAGGAAUCGCCGAGCAUCGUCAUACAGGAAGUUCCCGAUAGGGUACGGCAUGGUCGCCAAUUCGCCAUAAUAUCUCGG